CCCCUUCACCCUGAGUCCUGCCCGCGCAUGCGCACCGCUCUGCGCUGCCACCACCUUUUCACACAGGGUGUGUUAGUCCCUGGAGCCAGCGAAGCCCCAGUUCCGCCUGGAGGUUGCUCUGCGUCUGCGCCAACCCAGAGUUCCAGGCGGCUUCCCCGACAGGUUUCUCUUCUGUGUGCCUCUUAUUGGAGAAGAUUUAACUCUAGAAAUUCUUGGUCCACAAGAGCUCAGAGCCAACAAGUUCCAAAUGCACAAAAACUUGUCAAUCCUCUGAUGUCUCAAUCUUACUAAUGUCUCAUUUGACCAAGUUAGCCAAACCCAGAGUCAUUAAGGAAAGGGACCACGGAAUGUCACAAAUACUGACAGUCAAGAUUCAAUGGAGGCCAUUGAUGUUAAGAGUUGACCACACUACCAAGAUUGAUAUGCAAAUUUUCCCCACAUAUUAUAUUCAUGAUCAGUUCUUGCUGUUGGCGCUAUUAAUCCUUACUUCACAAUCUUUCUGAAUUAUUCGUGUUUCAGCUUUAGAGCCCCUUCUCAACGUCUGGUGCAACUCUUACGAUUUGAACCCAGAAAAAGAAAACUAUGAGGAUCUCAUAAUGCCUAGGGGCAGCUUAUUACACAAAUUGGAACAAAUCUACUGCUUUAAUUCCUAACAAGGAAGAAAGAAGACAGGAAAAAGGGAUCAUACGAAGAUAUAAAACGAUACCUCCUAUCUCAUUUAGCAUAAAGGCAUCUGAAAAAAUCCUAGAGGAUCUACUUAGUACAGAAUCCAUUUCAGUUAAUGUGUCUACCACAUCUUAAUUAAAUAAAACUGCAGUACAGAAAGUCCAGGAGGGCCAUUUGAGUAGUGAGAAUAAGCAGCUACAUAUUAGUCAGUGGGAAGGUCCUUUCUUUGCUGCCACUGCUGUAUUCUCACCCACUUUUGAAUAACAUGGAGUCUCCAAUGGGUAACAAAUGCAGGAAUGAAUAAGCCACAGUUCUUGUCUCUGAAGAGCUUAUGGUCAAAUGCAGGAAACAAAUAAUCACAUUACUUACUAGCACACAAAUUUAAAAAGACAUGUUAUAAAUAGCAGUGGGCAAUAUCCCUUUUUUCCCCCCACCAAACUAGCUCUAGCUAACCUGAGAGAGUGGGACUAAAAAGAAGGAGAUGGGGACAGAGAAUAUGCAGUGCACAUGUACAGUGUCCACAGUUGAGGACAACUGGGGAACAGAAGGAGAAUGAAACUACCUACUGAUAAAGAUGGUAUUUUCUAAAGUAUGGAGGAUCCUUCCCUGGAAAAGUGUAUUCCAUACUCAGAUGAAAGUUCAGGGCGAUGUCUCAGUCGAAAGGAAGAAACCUAAGAAACAAACCAACUCCGAUGCCAUAUCAUUUGCAUGCCAUCAUGUCUCAGCUAAUACUUGGUGUGAUCUCCAGCUCUGCAGCCAAUAUGAAAGAGUUUCACAAAUCAAACAUUAGCAGGUAAACUCAUAGAACAACCGGCCUGAUCUUAUUUCAUAGGCAUUGUAAGAAAGCCAAAUUCCUCUGCAGGUAAAUGGUUUUUCAGGCUUUUCUGCCCUCCCACUAUUGGCACAGCCCUGCCUGAUGGGUCCCUGCAGUUGUUACAUUGCUGCAAGUUGUCUCCUUUGCUUCUGUGGGCCAUGGGAGGAGUAUUGGGAUAGCCACCAAGAGAAGCAGCAGCAGAAGAGGCAGGAGAGAAAGACCUGGAGAAAAAAGCCAGAGAAGCCCAGAGUGACGACUUGCUGGGGACUUGGAGACUACGGGACUCCUGGUCCCCAGCAUGCCGCCUGCUGUGUACCUGUUUGCCAUACUACAUGUAAAACUCAAUAAAAGCCUG